rnacentral:misc_RNA from 1 species
UAUAAUAUAAUAAAACUGCCGUUUGCUCUUGUUGGCAUACCGGCGUAUAAUGGAGUUUCGCGUAACUGCGUGCUUUUUAAAUUAUUCACUCAACGUGUGAGCCAGUCCAGUUCGCAACAGCGGCAAUGCCGUUCGUUGACGUUUGCGGGAUUAUGGCGGGUUGUGUGUCCUAGAUUAUUAUUAUAUUCUUGCGACCCACCCGAAUGCCGGAAACCCGAACUCUUCGAUAAGUGUUAUUGUCGGCGUACUCGGACGACCUAAUGGUUCCUCGUUAUUAUCGUACGCGCAUGCGUUUCAUUGCGAUAUUUAUUUCAUUAUAAAUUUUCGCUUCGAAUAGUGAGCGUGUUACGAAAUUUCAAAA